CCUAACCAGGGCCCAGGCCUGAGAGAAGCCUGCAACCAAGGAAUUCAAGCACAAGGACAAAUAACUCCUCCAUCACAGUAGGAAAUGAAAUGGAGCCCUGGGAAAGGUGUGUAUGUACGCACACAUGCAUGUUCCUUUAAUACAUCUAAAGUAAAUUCACUUUAAUGUAAACCUGAAGGCAAAUAAUCUUGGUGAGUUCGCAGAGGCUGAAGAGAAGAAUGUAAACAGAAGACUAGACAGUAAGGAGAGCCCACAGGCCUUCCCCAGCAGAGACAGAGUAUGUACCUCUAGACUCAGGGAGGAAAUGUGGAACAGUGGGACAGUGGGACAGAUUAUCCUGUCCAACAAAUACAAUGCAGGUUAAAGUUUUUCUCAUAUUCAUAGUAAAAAAGAAACAUGAAAUUAAUUAUUUUAGAUAUUUAACUUAAUCCAACUACCCAAAACAAUCAUUUCUGUAUCUGUAAUAGUAAAAGCAUAAUAUGCUAAUUAGACUGGACAUCCUUCCAGAUGAAUCUGGGGCUGUGAGGGCCGAGCCCCUUGCAUGAAUUUCGUGCAUCGGGCCUCUAGUAUAAUAUAAACAAUUGAAUUAAAGUAAAUUCAUCUUCUCAGUUACAGUAGCCACAUUUGAAGUGCUCAGCCACAUAUGACUAACAGCUACCUUAUUCUAUAGCCCAGACAUAUUCAUUUUCCUCAUGGAACUCCUCUAAUGUGAUGUGAAGCUGACAAAGUAAUACAUCUGAAUAAUUGUGAGACUUCAAUCUACUGCUUAAAGACUCUGCAGCACAAUAAAGUUUGACAACAGUCUCUGUAGAGAACUCAUUAGGAAUGCAGAUUUCCAGAUGCUAACCCCAGAGAACACCAA